rnacentral:rRNA from 1 species
ACUUAAUAGUAUAUAUUAAGUAUACUCGCAUCAAAUUAGGAAGAUGGUUUUAUUAAAAUGUUAGAUAUCAUCUAAUAGGAGGAAACAAUAUGAAAAGCUCACCAUUCCUUAUUUGUAGCCUACUAUGGGUCACAAUGGCACUGAAACAAGGGCCAUCGCUUUUUAGUGCAGCAGUAAGAAGUUUUUGACAAUGUGUUAAAUGACUGUAUGUAACUGUGCGUUAUAAUAUAGUUUUAUGUUACUCUCGGGUAACGUAAACACGAUCAGGACAUCAUUCGUAAGAUUAGUUCCGGCAAAUUCCGUGCCAGCAGCCGCGGGAAGACGGGAGGAGCAAGCUUAUUACGUAAGGAUUGGGUAUAUCGAGUGAAGGUGAUUAUAAUGGUAUACGUUUAGAUUUUGCUUUAUUACGUAUGGAACAGUCAAAUGUUAAGAUAUAUGUAGGACGGCCGAAGGCGAAAGCAGCAUUUCAAGUAAUUUACCGUAACUGUAACUCGGAAGUCUGGGUAUCAAAUCGGAUUAGACACCCGAGUAGUCCAGACCGUCAACGUGAGGAUUUAACAUCCUAAACCUGGUGAUACGUUCGCAAGAAUUGUAAUCAUAGAAUUUGGCAGACAUAGUCAACCACUGUGGAGCAUGCGGUUUAAUGCGAUGAUCCGCGUAUAACCUUACCACUU